rnacentral:rRNA from 1 species
AGUGAACGCUGGCGGCGUGCUUAACACAUGCAAGUCGAACGAGAACGGAUUAUAGCUUGCUAUAAUUGUCAGCUAAGUGGCGCACGGGUGAGUAAUGUAUAGGUAAUAUGCCUCUUACUAAGGGAUAACAAAUGGAAACGUUUGCUAAUACCUUAUACUCCUUAUUAACAUAAGUUAAUAAGGGAAAGAUUUAUUGGUAAGAGAUUAGCCUGUAUUGUAUCAGUUAGUUGGUGGGGUAAUGGUUUACCAAGACUAUGACACAUAACUGGUUUGAGAGGAUGAUCAGUCACACUGGAACUGAGACACGGUCCAGACUCCUACGGGAGGCAGGAGUGGGGAAUAUUGCACAAUGGACGGAAGUCUGAUGCAGCAACGCCGCGUGGAGGAUGACACAUUUCGGUGCGUAAACUCCUUUUAUAUGAGAAGAUAAUGACGGUAUUAUAUGAAUAAGCACCAGCUAACUCCGUGCCAGCCGCCGCCGUAA